rnacentral:rRNA from 1 species
GACGAACGCUGGCGGCGUGCUUAACACAUGCAAGUCGAACGGAAAGGCCUCUUUCGGGGGGUACUCGCGUGGCGAACGGGUGAGUAACACGUGAGUAACCUGCCCUUGACUUUGUGAUAACUUCAGGAAACUGGGGCUAAUACCGGAUAUAGGCUCCUGCUGCAUGGGGGGGGUUGGGAAGUGUCGGCGGUUGGGGGUGGACUCGCGGCUUAUCAGCUUGUUGGUGGGGGAGUGGCUUACCAAGGCGUUUACGGGUGGCCGGGCUGGGAGGGUGACCCGCCACAUUGGGACUGAGAUUCGGCCCCGACUCCUACGGGGGGCAGCAGUGGGGAAUAUUGCACAAUGGGUGGGAGCCUGAUGCAGCAACGCCGGGUGCGGGAUGACGGCCUUCGGGUUGUAAACCGCUUUCGCUCAUGACGAAGCUUUGUGUGACGGUAGUGGGUAAAGAAGCACCGGCUAACUACGUG